CAGCCAGUAUAUUAUGCGAUUUGUGGCAGAUUUGGAAUAAACUGCCAAUUUAUCAUCUAUUCUAUUAGAUAAAGGACAAAAAAAAUCCUUAAUUUCCAUUUUUUUUUUCUUUUUACAUCCAGUGUAAAUCCCCAUUCUUCUUCUUUUCCAUAUCAGAUGAGAGCUACCCGAUACCUACCCAUCUUCGCGAGAGCCACCCGCUCUAUUUGGUGAGUGGCGAUUGUUCGUCCCUAUCUUUGUUGUAUUUAGAGAUUAAAAUGAAGCUCCGUGUUGCAGAUGCGGCAGAGAUCUCCACUCGAUUCGUGUUCUCUCCUUAUUCGACAUCCGUUCUCAGCUACUCUGCCUGCUCGUUGAGAUCCACCAUCAAUUUCCCUCCAACAGCGGGCUUCAAAUCUGGGGCUUGCUCCUAUUUGACAUCCAUCGCUUGCGCUUCAAACCAGGCGAGCCUCUCCAUCCUAUUGGAGCGCUGCAGAUACUAUCCAUGGGUUUAUUGAUGAAGAGGAUGAUGGUGACUUCUUGCAAACAACAGAGCCAAAGAGGACAAGUGGCAAGACACUACGUGACAUCUUGGAGGCCCUUCCCCGAGAAUGGAUAUCUGAAGAUCUAAUGGAGGCACUCAUGAAUAGAGGAGUUCAUCUUUCUCCUACAAUGUGAGCAUAAGACAUCAUUUCGAGCUAAUUUUCUUUUUAUUAGGUAUUGGUAUUUAAUUAUUUAUUUUCUACCAUGUGACUUCUAUCCAUUAAAAUGUAUUUCUCAUUGGCUGUAUUUAGAUUAGAAGUGGGAGACUGGGUGAAAUUUAUUGGAACUAUCACAGCUCCUACCUAUGGGUGGCAAGGUGCUAGACCAAAGAGUAUUGGAUUUGUGCAAAGUAUUCAAGAUCGUGAUAAUCUUAUCGUUUUAUUUUGUUCUGGAGAAGUUUAUGUUUUAGCAAAUGAAGUUGUAAAACUCAUUUCAUUAGACUGAGGGCAACAUGUACAGUUGAAAAAGGACGUGAAUAAAUAAAAAAAUAUAUUUAUAGUAUU